AGUGAACGCUGGCGGCAGGCCUAACACAUGCAAGUCGAGCGGCAGCGCGUCCGACCACCCUCGGGUGGUCGGAUGGCGGCGAGCGGCGGACGGGUGAGGAAUGCAUCGGAAUCUGCCUCGUUGUGGGGGAUAACGUAGGGAAACUUACGCUAAUACCGCAUACGACCUACGGGUGAAAGUGGGGGACCUUCGGGCCUCACGCGAUGAGAUGAGCCGAUGCCGGAUUAGCUAGUUGGCGGGGUAAAGGCCCACCAAGGCGACGAUCCGUAGCUGGUCUGAGAGGAUGAUCAGCCACACUGGAACUGAGACACGGUCCAGACUCCUACGGGAGGCAGCAGUGGGGAAUAUUGGACAAUGGGGGCAACCCUGAUCCAGCCAUGCCGCGUGUGUGAAGAAGGCCUUGGUU
rnacentral:rRNA from 1 species